rnacentral:rRNA from 1 species
UUACGGUCAAAUCACGCUGAAACACCGGUUCUCGUUCGAUCACCGAAGUUAAGCAUCGUAGAGCCAGGUCAGUACUUAGAUGGGGGACCUCUUGGGAACAACUGGUACUGUAAG